GUCUACGGCCAUGCCACCCUGAACAAGCCUGAUCCCAUCUGAUCUCAGAAGCUAAGCAGGAUCGGGCCUGGUUAGUACUUGGAUGGGGGACCACCUAGGAAGACCAGGUGCAAUAGGCA
rnacentral:rRNA from 1 species